CUUCACUGAAGCUCCUUCAAUGCUUGUGCCAAACCUUACAUCAUCGAGAUCCGUCAGGGAGGCAAUACACGAGGUGCAAAUGGUGCAGGUAUGCAUUUUCUGUAAUUAGGGAAAUUCAGGACAAUUAGACGUCUAAGAUAUGCAGAAACAUCAACACCCUGUUGCAAUAACAAUGGACCUUACUUUCAUUUUAUAGCGUAAAGAUACGAUUGAACGCUAACUGGAAGAAACUUCUGAACAUUUAAGUACACUGCCAAUCAAUGGAAGUAAGGAACUAAUUAAUGAAAAGAGAAUUAAGAUAGAGAUAAAGAUUUAAGGACUUACUGAAUAAUUGAAUUUUAAAAACUAACGUGUCAUAGAGUAGUUAACUAUCUAGUUCCUUUAAAUCUUCCAGUAGAUUGAAUAAUGACCCAAAUAAAGUUACAGAAACAGAUUGAAUAAUGUUUGUCACGAAAAAUAAAUGUAUGGUUUCUUUUAUUUUGCAAAAAAUGUAACAGGUAUGGGGAAGCACCAUGAAAUUAUGCGAACAGAGAGGCAAGGAACUAUUGGAUACAAAUGUGAUAACAACAGCUGACCUCAAUGAUUGGUUGAAAGCAAAGAACACAAAUGAUGCAUCCAUUGUUGCCGUUGGAUUGCCCUGUUUCUCAUUUUUGCAGACGAUAC
rnacentral:lncRNA from 1 species